CUGACUCUUCCAUUCUCAUUGCUGUCAUAGAGAGCGGGGGAGAGAGAAGAGACAAUGACGCCUCACUCACCUCUCCGUUCCUCCCCGCUCUCUGAUAACGGCGACCCUUUCCACUGGCCGCAAAAUGACCUCUGCGACAACUCCCACGCCAUCGUCAUCGUUGAGACAACAUCAACUCAAUUCGCCCAGGCCGUGUCCCUCACGCUGGAAUCCGAGCACUGGAACCCGUCACCGAAGAACUUCAUCACCCAUCCCAUGAGGCUUUAGACGAGGUUGCCGAGCGCCGUUGGUCGAACGUGACUGAGGGCGGUGGCGCCGCCCAGUCCGAUGGUGCAAAAAAGAGAGGUGAUGGCGAAAAAGGUGGCGUUUGGUUUCUUGUUCAGCGAAGUAGUACCGUGUCUGAUUUUGUUUUUAGUUAUAGCCGCGGAUAAGACCCAUGGUUGGAGCGGUGACUCUUUUGACCGCUACAAGGAAUACAGGUGGAGUCUAAUGAUGGUUCAGCUAUAGUAGUCACACCUGGUGAAUCUAUGACAGAGGCUCUGAAAACAAAUUGUGAGAUGUGUCUGAUUUUAAUUGCAAUAAUUCCUAUGACACAUGAGUUUUACUCGUGAGGUAAUAUGUGAGAGCGUGAGAGGGCAAAACUUUGUGAACUUGAAUGGAGCUUACAAAAGAGACAUACUCAUGUUCCUUAAGGCUGAAAAACACAGUUGAAGAAGAUGCAAUAAGGUUGCAGCCUGGAUCUAGUGAAGUCCAUAUGUUUUUUCCAGAUAGCCUUGGAGAUGAUUUGAUUGUUGAAUUUCAAGAAUCCAAGGGAAAGCAUUUUGGUCGUGUUCUUGUCCAAGUGGCUACUAUAGCUGAUGAUCCGGCUGACAAAUUACGCUGGUGGCCUAUUUAUCGUGAACCAAACCAUGAGCUUAUGGGCAAGUUACAACUGUAUGUAAAUUAUUCAACAAGUGCAGAUGACAAUAGUCACCUCAAGCAGAGACAGUUGCAUAUGACUUAGUUUUGGAAGUUGCAAUGAAAAUCCAGGGAUUUCAGCAAAGGAAUUUAUUGUUGCACGGUCCAGUGAAUCAAAUAGGUUAUUGCAAUGGAAGUGCCAAAAACUUGGUUAGCCAAAGUGCAUCCUUCCAAAGGCACCCCAUUGAAUGCCACACUCUUUUUGGAUGCGCCACAAGCAAGGUGUGAUGCAUCGGGAUCUUAAGCCAGAGAACUUUUUGUUUGCAAAUAAAAAGGAAACUGCAGCUUUGAAGGCUAUAGAUUUUAGGUUGUCGGUGUUCUUUAAACCAGGUUGACCGUAACACUGCCAUGUAAGUUGCUAUGUCAGAAUUUCUAAAAUGCCAAAUGGCUGCCUUCUACAUUUCUUUUAUAUUUUGUUAUGAUACCUUCCAAGUGCCAAAGCUCAAAAAGCAUAGGUACAUUCAUAUCUUUUCAAUCGGCUAAAAAAAAUAAUGUUAUUGCUAUCCUACAGUGGGGAGUUCUAAGUACUGGUGGAUUUAGUCCAUAAUCUUCAUGGUCUAAAAUUCCUCUGCUAGCUACAUUUCACAUUUGCUUGCAUCGUGAUUGUAAAUUUUUUAAUUUUAUAUAUACAUACAUAUAUAUAGGGGCUAUGGGGCGUUCGGGUUCUACUACAAAAAGACAUCAUUUUGAAAUUCCGACCACGUCAAUGUGAUCGGGGUUUAGCGAAGUUCAUAAAAAUAACAUCAAUUUUAUAAAAAAAUAACUUCUACAACAUCACAUUUUUAAUGGUUUUUCGAAGGAAGUGCAAAAACAUCCUAUUACGAUACCCAAAACUCAAGGGACAUUAAGAGAAGCUCAAACUAACUAGGAGAUAGGCAUAGAAGUCAAGAUUACCUUAGAGAAACUACAAAAGAAAGAAUUGGAAGCUUGUUCUCCACCUGUGGCCCGACGGAUUUCAUUCCGAUUAAAGCGUUCCUCUUCAUGUGGUGGUCCAGCAGCAAGCAACGACUAUUCAUGGUAGCCACCAGUGGUCGUGGGUGGUGGAAGAGGAGUUUCUAGGGUUGUUUGGGCGGAAUUUUGAAAGAGAGACGCGUGAAAUCGUGUUUUUCAUGCUAAAGAACGUAUUUAUAAUCUGUAGAUCUCGCUUAGCAAGCUCAUCUCACUAAUCGAGUUGCAAUUGCGCUUAGCGUGCUUGUCUCACUAAGCGAGAUAUCCAAAAGUGUUAUUUUGUAAAUCCUAAUGGUCAAAGCGUGAAGAUGUGGGUUAUGAACCUACAGCCCAAAUUUGAAGGCAAUCCAACAGUUUACGAAUUCAGGAUUACAGUUUUACUAAAACAAAUUUAGAUAAAACUUGAAAUCCCACAGUUUCAACAUAGGUCAAUCAAACUCUACAUAACCUAGCAUCCACAUCAAGAAAUCGUACAUAGCAAAUUUACACAGCACCUCAACUCAUCCAAAUCAAUUAAAUAACACAAGAAUUACAUUAAACAUUAAGCUAUUGCAAUUUCAUGGCGUUAUAGUAGGAAGUUGUUUAUUGGUUUAAAAACUGGAUACUUAAUGCAUGUUGUAACACUUAAAUUUGGAGAACUCACUUAGUUUUUUAAAUUCUUUAAAAAUAACUUAUAAAAAUAAGUAGUUUUUUUUAAAAUUAAAGGAAACUCACUCUUAAAAAUUAAAUUCAAAUUUUUUAUGUAUAUUUGAUCUGGAAAUAUAUAUUUAAACUUAAAAUCAAUUUUAAAAACUUGAAUCAUUGAAACAGAAAUUCAAGCUCAAACAAAUAAAAAAAAAGUUAACGGCGGGGCCG